rnacentral:tRNA from 1 species
GCCCCUAUAGUUCAACGGAUAGAAUGCAAGCUUGCGGAGCUUGAAAUGUAGGUUCGAUUCCUACUGGGGGCA